AGGGCACCACCAGGAGUGGAGCCUGCGGCUUAAUUUGACUCAACACGGGGAAACUCACCCGGCCCGGACACCGGAAGGAUUGACAGAUUGAUAGCUCUUUCUUGAUUCGGUGGAUGGUGGUGCAUGGCCGUUCUUAGUUGGUGGAGCGAUCUGUCUGGUUAAUUCCGAUAACGAACGAGACUCUAGCCUAUUAAAUAGACGUCGGGUUCUCUGCACUCGACGGUCUUCUUAGAGGGACAAGGUGCUUUUAGCACCGCGAAACAGAGCAAUAACAGGUCUGUGAUGCCCUUAGAUGUCCGGGGCCGCACGCGCGCUACACUGAAGGGAGCAGCGUGUAACAACCUUGUUCUAACGAACUGGGUAACCCGUGGAACUUCCUUCAUGAUUGGGAUAGGGGUUUGCAAUUGUGCCCCUUGAACGAGGAAUUCCCAGUAAACACUAGUCAUCAGCUAGUGCUGGUUACGUCCCUGCCCUUUGUACACACCGCCCGUCGCUACUACCGAUUGAAUGGUUUAGUGA
rnacentral:rRNA from 1 species